rnacentral:rRNA from 1 species
GCAGGCGCGAAACCUUUACACUGCACGCAAGUGCGAUAAGGGGACUCCGAGUGCGAGGGCAUAUCGUCCUCGCUUUUCUGUACCGUAGGGUGGUACAGGAACAAGAGCUGGGCAAGACCGGUGCCAGCCGCCGCGGUAAUACCGGCAGCUCAAGUGAUGGCCGAUCUUAUUGGGCCUAAAGCGUCCGUAGCCGGCCUCGCAAGUCCGUCGGGAAAUCCACGCGCCCAACGCGUGGGCGUCCGGCGGAAACUCCGAGGCUUGGGACCGGAAGGCUCGAGGGGUACGUCCGGGGUAGGAGUGAAAUCCCGUAAUCCCGGACGGACCACCGAUGGCGAAAGCACCUCGAGAAGACGGAUCCGACGGUGAGGGACGAAAGCUCGGGUCUCGAACCGGAUUAGAUACCCGGGUAGUCCGAGCCGUAAACGAUGUUCGCUAGGUGUGGCACUGGCUACGAGCCAGUGCUGUGCCGUAGGGAAGCCGAGAAGCGAACCGCCUGGGAAGUACGUCCGCAAGGAUGAAACUUAAAGGAAUUGGCGGGGGAGCACUACAACCGGAGGAGCCUGCGGUUUAAUUGGAUUCAACGCCGG